CACGUAGGGCGCAAGCGUUGUCCGGAAUUAUUGGGCGUAAAGAGCUCGUAGGCGGUCUGUUACGUCUGCUGUGAAAACCCGGGGCUUAACCCUGGGCUUGCAGUGGAUACGGGCAGACUAGAGGCAGGUAGGGGAGAAUGGAAUUCCCGGUGUAGCGGUGAAAUGCGCAGAUAUCGGGAGGAACACCAAUGGCGAAGGCAGCUCGCUGGGACGGUACUGACGCUGAGGCGCGAAAAGCGUGGGGAGCA
rnacentral:rRNA from 1 species